AUUGAACGCUGGCGGCAUGCCUAACACAUGCAAGUCGAACGAGUGGCGGACGGGUGAGUAAUGUCUGGGAAACUGCCCGAUGGGGGGGGAUAACUACUGGAAAGAGGAGCUAAUACCGCAUACCAUCGGAUGUGCCCAGAUGGGAUUAGCUAGUAGGUGGGGUAACGGCUCACCUUGGCGACGAUCCCUAGCUGGUCUGAGAGGAUGACCGCCCACACUGGACUUGAGACACGGUCCAGACUCCUACGGGAGGCAGCAGUGGGGAAUAUUGCACAAUGGGCGCAAGCCUGAUGCAGCCAUGCCGCGUGUAUGAAGAAGGCCUUCGGGUUGUAAAGUACGUUCAGCGAGGAGGCGUUACUCGCAGAAGAAGCACCGGCUAACUCCGUGCCAGCAGCCGCGGUAAUUC
rnacentral:rRNA from 1 species